rnacentral:rRNA from 1 species
CGGGAGCAUGCUGUACCGGACCUGCGGAGGGAUCAUUACACAAAUAUGAAGGCGGGCUGGAACCUCUCGGGGUUACAGCCUUGCUGAAUUAUUCACCCUUGUCUUUUGCGUACUUCUUGUUUCCUUGGUGGGUUCGCCCACCACUAGGACAAACAUAAACCUUUUGUAAUUGCAAUCAGCGUCAGUAACAAAUUAAUAAUUACAACUUUCAACAACGGAUCUCUUGGUUCUGGCAUCGAUGAAGAACGCAGCGAAAUGCGAUAAGUAGUGUGAAUUGCAGAAUUCAGUGAAUCAUCGAAUCUUUGAACGCACAUUGCGCCCUUUGGUAUUCCAAAGGGCAUGCCUGUUCGAGCGUCAUUUGUACCCUCAAGCUUUGCUUGGUGUUGGGCGUCUUGUCUCUAGCUUUGCUGGAGACUCGCCUUAAAGUAAUUGGCAGCCGGCCUACUGGUUUCGGAGCGCAGCACAAGUCGCACUCUCUAUCAGCAAAGGUCUAGCAUCCACUAAGCCUUUUUUUCAACUUUUGACCUCGGAUCAGGUAGGGAUACCCGCUGAACUU